rnacentral:rRNA from 1 species
AACGCUGGCGGCGUGCUUAACACAUGCAAGUCGAACGCGAAAGGGACUUCGGUCCUGAGUAAAGUGGCGCACGGGUGAGUAACGCGUAGAUAACCUGUCUUCAUGUCUGGAAUAAUACGCCGAAAGGGGUACUAAUACCGGAUAUUCUUGCUUUUCAUAAGUUAUGCAAGCAAAGGUGGCCUCUGCAUAUGCUACUGCAUGAAGAGGGGUCUGCGUACCAUUAGCUAGUAGGUGGGGUAAUGGCCUACCUAGGCGACGAUGGUUAGCGGGUCUGAGAGGAUGAUCCGCCACACUGGCACUGGAACACGGGCCAGACUCCUACGGGAGGCAGCAGUGAGGAAUAUUGCGCAAUGGGGGGAACCCUGACGCAGCGACGCCGCGUGAGUGAAGGAAGGCCUUCGGGUCGUAAAGCUCUGUCAAGAGGAAAGAAGUGUACAAUGGCUAAUACCUGUUGUAUUUGACGGUACCUCUAAAGGAAGCACCGGCUAACUCCGUGCCAGCAGCCGC